rnacentral:lncRNA from 1 species
UUGCCGAAGAAAGGGAGAGCUCCUCUUGGUCUAUGAUUACAUGCCCCACGGAAGCCUUGAUAAACUCCUAUUUCACAAUGACACACCCAGCUUUAAUUGGGUUCAUCGAUAUCAGGUCCUCAGAGGAGUUGCGUCUGCCCUUCUUUACCUCCAUGAAGAGUGGGAACAGGUUGUUCUUCAUAGAGAUGUUAAAGCUAGCAAUAUACUGUUAGAUGAUGAUUUCAAUGGUCGACUAGGAGAUUUUGGGCUUGCUAAAUUCUAUGAUCGUGGGGCUAAUCCUCAAACAACCUGUGUGGUUGGAACAGUUGGAUAUAUCGCGCCAGAGGUUACUAGAACAGGAAGGGCCACUACCAGCAGUGAUGUUUUUGCUUUUGGCACUUUUAUGCUUGAAAUGGCCUGUGGAAGGAAACCUGUAGAGCCAGAACAAUCAGCAGAAAAGAUGAUUUUGGUUGACUGGGUUCUUGACUCCUGGAAAAUAGGAGACAUUCUUCGAACAGGUGAUCCAAGAUUGGAAGGUAAUUACGUGGUGGAGGAAAUGGAAUUGGUUUUAAGGCUAGGUCUGCUUUGUUCUUUCUCCACACCACAAGCUAGGCCAAGCAUGAGGAAAAUUUCGCAAUAUCUGGAUGGGAAUGCUAGCCUGCCAGAGAUGCCUCUUGAUGGUGCUAGCAUAGGUUUGAUGCCAGUUAGUCAUGAAGAGCCUGGGGAUUUCACCUUGUCUUUCCAUAGAUCUAAUGAUUACUCUGCUCAUUCCUUCUCUAGUACCGACUCAAUCCUCAGCUGUGGUCGUUGAAUCAUGGCUUAACGAGGUAAAAAUUCUUUAAUCUAAAGACUAACAGCUGGCAUGUGGAAGGUAGAUUGGAAUACUUAGAGGGUUACCUUGUUUGUGCAUACCAUAGUAAUCCUCAAAGCACAACAAAGACUGCUCCAUGAGGGGUUAAUUAAUUAGCAUACAAACAUAGGUAUAAUUUAUGAUUUAAGCAAAACACAUGGUUGAAAUAGUACAAUGUUUGAUGUACAAUGCUGGUCAAUGAUGGCCGUGUAGCUUCUUCCAUUCUCCUCAGUGCUCUAACCCCACCCCACAAUUCAACUCAACUAUGCCUCAUUCCCAAACUAGUUAGAAUCAGUUUCACAGAUCUUCCUUCUCCAUUCAUUUAGUCCUUGUUCCUUUUUUGAUAAAACUCUCCACUUACUUCUGUUAUGGACUCAAAUGAUUAAUCACCUAUGCCUACCUCGUUUUUACAUGGAAGGUUAAUUACAUAUUGAAAUAUUCUGACUUCUGAUAUAGUGAUCUGCAGAAGCAUAGGCUUCAGUCAACUUUCUAAAAUACAGAAAAUCCAACACCCAGUAUCAUCGAUUAUCCUAACUAGAGUGCAGUUCAGUGUGAUAUAGCUGCUGGCUGGGUGGUUUAUUCACAGACUAGUAGUGGAAUAAAAAAAAUGGUGAUAAGGUAUCUUGAUGCUGAUGUUAUACACACAUAUAACUGUUUUAAUCUUUCUACAAACAGUCAAGAUUGCAAAAACCACGUUCAAGGAAGAAAGAAGAUAUAGACAGCAGCUUUGUAGGUUGAAAAGGGAUUAAAACACCAGCCAAGAAAAAGUAAAAGAAACAUUGCAACAAAAUUUGCAAUAAGAAGGCAGCAAUAUUAAUAACCCUGCUUUCAGAAAGAGUGUACAUAGUCAAUUACCUAAUGAAAAGGCUAGAGAUGUCUGAUCAAUAAGUUUCCAUCAUUUCUCCUGGUUAUUGGGUCACAGCUUGUUGCAGAUGAGGCAGCGCAACCUCUUGGGACAGAGUACGUUCACUUGCUGUGCAGCCUUUCCUGCAUCCAACUACCCUUAGUGAUUAAACAGACUCUAAUUUAUCAAGCAUGGAGAUUAGUUGUAAUGAUCAACUUUAAUUCUAAUUUGGGUCCCUCAAAGAACUUACACAGAGCAAGGUAAACAUGAAGUGACUUGAUUCCAUCUUAGGAAAAACAAGCUCAUACUGGAAAAGAUUUAACAGACAUUAGCCUCCCCGAAAAAUACCACAAAAAAAAAAAAAAACAAAAACAAAAGGAAGUUGAUACAGAUGCAGGAUAGCCAUCAACGUGAAAAUUACCGGUACUGAUGUGUUCAUAUGAACUUAUGGUGCCCGUGUGAGCUUGGAAGAGAGAACCAACCACUCCCUUUCCUCCUGGUAAUAUCUUGCUGGUCACAGAGGUGUCAAAGGCAAGGACUGCAGCCAUGGAUCAACUGUUGUAGUGGCUGUGACUGACCAAAUCAGCUCACUAAGAUAAUCCGCCUAUAGGAAAAGAAAUGAAUCAGGGAAGGAUGAUCUGUGAGUGGUGUGGUUUUUAUUAUGAAAUAAAAGUUUGUUUUUGUAUUUUAAAAUGUUUUUUAAAAAUUUUAAUUUUGUUUUAAAUAAGUUUUUUUUAUGUUUUUAAAUAUGUUAAAAGUAAUUUUUAAAAAAAAUAUAUAUUAUUUUAAUAUAUUUUUAAACAAUAAAUACUUUAAAAAAUAACAUUAUUACACUAACAAAACAAAAUGAAAAAGCUUAAGAAAUAGCUAAUUAUCACUAAAAAGUGAAAGGGAGACAUCUUAAUGGCAAAGUGAUGGCUGAUGUGCCAAUGACAGCCAUGAAUACCACUUAUUGGGACUAUACAUAGACAAACAUCUGAUUGAUGAUGAUAGGCAGAGCUCAUGAAUAGCUUGAACCACAACCUUUUGAACAGUUCCAAGAUAUUUGAAAGUAUCUUGUGAGGUUGCAGCAAACUGGAUAAGCCACCCGUUCCGUCUUUUCCCUUUUGCAAGUAUCACAUGCUUAAUUGCUUACACAAACUAUUUAAAACUACUAAAGAAUUUUAAUAAAAGAAACGCCAGCUGAUUGCCAGUUUUGGCGAAACGUUCAAAAGGCUUUGGACAAGGUUGAAGUCGGAGACAAAUUCAAAGCUACAGUAGCCCUUAAUGCUGAUGUUUACAAAUCAUCUUCCAAUAACCCAUCUUCGACUGUUGGGAACGAGCCUUUCUUGUCAAGUUUUAAUAGCACUUGCGACAAUGUUACGUUUACGUUUCCACCAUUUCAAGACGUUCAUAAGGCUUAGGACAAUGAUGGAGUCAGAGACAAAAUCAAAGCUACAGCAGCCCUUAAUGCUGAUGUUCAUGAAUCAUCUUCCAACAAACAACCUGAUGGCAAUUUCCGUAACAACAUAAAGGAUGUCACGAUUCACACUGUGAAGUUCGUCAAAUUAAAGCUCAUAAUGGGAGAAGUUGGCUGGCCUACAGAUGGUAACAGUGCUGGCGAUUUGAAGAUCAUAAUGGGAGAAGUUGGCUGCCUACAGAUGGUAACAUUAAUGCCGACCCCAAAUUAGCUAAAACGUUCCAUGACGGUCUCUUUAAAGAAGGGAACCCCUGUCCGACGAGGUUAAUUGGAUGUGUAUCUCUUUGGCCUAAUCGAAGAAUCAGAAGAGCAUUGCACCAGGACAUUUCGAGAGACAUUGGGGGCUCUUUCGCUUCGAUGAACAGCUAAAAUUUCCAUGGAUUUAUCUGGACAAGGUGAUGAAGAGAUGCUAAUAGCAUCAUAUGGAGUCCAAUACAUGCCAUCUCAAUGGUGUGUGCUUGAUGAGGAAAAUAAGAACUUGACCAUGAUAAAAUUGAAAUCAGCUAUGCCCUGCUCUUUGGUCGUGAAUGUUGAAUAUUUAGAUAGCAUUUGGAAAUGCAGUUUUUUAAUUUUUUUAAUUUAAAAUUAUUUUUUUAUAUUUUGGAUUAUUUUGAUGUUAUGAUAUUAAAAAUUAUUUUUUAAAAAAUUAAAAUUAUUAUUUUUAUAUAUUUUUAUAUAAAAAGUAAUUUAUAAAAUAACAUCUAUCAUCUUCAAAUAUCUUCUUGCUAGAGCUCCGCCUUGGCAUGCAUGCCCACUAGGGGUGUUCACGGUUCGGUUCGGAUCGGUUUUUAUCAAAAAAAGUAACCAAACCGAAAUUUUUUUUUAAAAAAAAAAACCGAAACCGGUUCAAACCGACCGGUUUCGGUUCGGUUCGGUUCGGUUUUUUAGAGAAAAAACCGGUUCAAACCGGUUUGGCUCGGUUUUUCCGGUUUGGCUCGGUUUUUUCGGUUUGGCUCGGUUUGGCUCGGUUUUUUUCGGGUUCGGUUCGGUUCGGUUUUUCCGGUUCCAGGCUUAAAAAACCGAAACCGAACCGAACCGGUCGGUUUUUUCAAAAUUUUAAUCGGUUUAAUCGGUUUUUUUUUUCGGUUCGGUUUUUUUGGUUAUUUUUUUUCCGGUUUUCUCGGUUUAAUCGGUUUUUCGGUUUUUUUGAACACCCCUAAUGCCCACUACCCAUCUUUAUUAAUUGUGUCUAUGGUUUUGGUUAUCUUGUUUUUCUAUUUUUUUUUCUUGUAAAUGACAAGUUUCAUUAUGUAUUUUGUUUUUCAUUUAUAUAUGUUUUUAUAUUUUUCUCCAAAAUUUUAAAAUUAAAUAUUUAUUAUCAUAAAAUUUUAUUCUUGUCAAUUGUCAUAAUUCUUUGAAAAUUUUUGAAGCAUGUCAUUAUGCUUAAAGAUAUUUAAGUUUUUUAUUUAUAAAAAUAAAAUUACAUAUCUGAAAAUUUAUAUUUUUUUUAUUUUUACAAUCAUAAUUUCAUUUGAAUAAUUUAUAAUAAUGGUCGUAUAAAAAAAGAAUAGAUUAUAAUUAUAAAUUGUUUUAUAAAUGAGAAAAAACAUACAUUCAAAAAAGAUAUUAUGAAAUAUUUUUUGAAAGAAAAAACAAUUAAAGGUAAUUUUUUAAAUAUAUAAAGCACAAUUAAAUUUGAACUUUCUUGGAAGAUAAGCUAUAAAAAUAAAUUUAUUGAUCUUAAGAAUUAGCACAAGAAGAUUUAUUGACAAUUUAUCUUUAAAAAUUAAAUUUAUAGAUACUUCUUUCAACUUCCUCUUUCUCUUUCUAUUUUAAAGUUGUGUGGCACAAAAAUUACACGUUGAAGGAAAGAACGUGUGUAUAUCCUCUUUUUAAGUGUGUGUUUAGUAGUGCAUUAUAUGUUAUUUUUUAAAAGUAUUUUUAAUUUAAAAUAUAUUAAAAUAAUGUAUUUUUAUAUUAAUACAUUAAAAUUAUAAAAUAAAUUUAAAACAAAUAUUAAAUUAAUAUUUUUUUCAUAUAAAAAAUUGGCUUAACAAACAUUAUAAAAAAUAAAUCGAACCACAAAAACAAUAGCAGCCUUAAAUGCAACCAAACAUGCUUAAAGCAAGCAUUAGGUUUUAAUAAUAAUAAUAAUAAUAAGAAGCGAGCAAGGGUUGCAUACCCGAGCGAUGAUUGCAGACCCAGUUUCCAAACCCUCACCCCUAAGCUGCAGACCCACUUGCCAAGGUUUGCAGAACCCCGCGCUUGGGGUGUGCAGAACUAGGAGCGGGGUGUAGACCCACCCGUCUGGGUUUCUUCUAUUGCGCCUGAGGUCUGCAGACCCCCCAGGAGUUGUAGAACCCGUAGAGAAAAUUAACAAAUUUGAAAAAAAAAUGAAAACAAAUAUAAUAACUAAUAACAAUUAUUAUUGUUAUUGUUAUUGUUAUUAUUAUUAUUAUCGUAAAUAAAUUUUAUAAAAAUAUUAUUACUAUAAAAACUUGGACUAGACAAGUUUAAUAUUAUUAUUAUUAUACUAAAUAUUAUUGUUAUUUAUUGUUGUCAUUAGUAAAUUGAAAACAAAAUUAUUAUUUAUUGUUAUCAUUUCAGGUGGGGUUGAAUUUCCUUAUUAAAACAUGUUUUGUUUUGGUUUUUAAAAAUGCUUUGAAACAAAUUUGACAAUUUUUUAUUUUUUUCAUUACUUCAAAUUAAUAUUUUUUCUUUUAAUUCAUAUUAAGAUGUUUUUGUAUUAUUUUGAUGUGAUUAUAUAAAAAAUAGAUUUAAAACAAUAAAAAAUAUUAUCUCAAUAUAUUUCAAAAAAAAUAUUUUAAGAUAUUUUCAAUUUUAUUUUUUUCCCUCUUCAAAUAUUUUUUUCUCUUAUUGAUUUUUUUCAUACUGUAAAGAGAAAAUAAAUUAAUGUGACUUUUUUUUAUAUUAUACAAAAGUUGGGUGAUGAUAAUUUUUUUUCAUUUCAAGUUGGGUUGAAUUUUCUUAUUAAAGUAUGUUUGGUUUUGCGAUUCAAAAAUGGUUUGAAAAAAAUUUAAAUUUUUUUUAUUGUUUUCUUUACUUCAAAUUAAUAUUUUUUAUGUUUUUAUAUUUUGUUUUUAAAUAUAUUGAGAUUGAGUCUGGUUGCAUAGCCACACCAAAAAGAAUAUAUUAAGUUGGGUCCUAUCCAGCAGGACCCAAAAUAGCUUUGGGUCCAGCCGCCGCUGGACCCAUCAGCCUUGGGUCUUGUCCCUAACAGGAUCCAUCAGCGUUAAGUCCUGCUCCUAGCAGGACCCAUCACUAUUUUUUUUUUUUUCUUUUCUAUUGGGUCAGGCAUUUUCUUCCAGAACCAAGAAACUUGGGUAAGAAACGACGCCUCACCCAAGGAGCUUGGGUGUGGCUAGGCACAGACCCAAAUCCAAAUCCCUUUGGUCUUAAAGACCCGCCUGGCCCAAGAUUAUUGGUCCUUCGUCAGGACCUAAGGCUAAUGGGUUAUGCGUCAGGAAUCAAGGCUAAUAGGUCGUGAGUCAAAACCCAAUGUUCUUGGGUCCUGUGUCAGGACCCAAUUUCCUUAGGUUAUGUCAGGACCCAAAACUAAUGGAUGUGACAUCAAGACCCAAGAUUCUUGGAUCUUAGAUUUCUAAAUAUAAUUAUUUAUGAUAUAAAUAUAAUUAUUUUUAUUAUAAUUAAAAGUACUAAUAUUAAAAAUAGUAUUAUUUGUGAUAUAAAUAUUACUAUUUUUAAAAUAAUUAAUAAAUUUGAAAAACAUUAUUAUCAGUAUUGAAAAACAACUAUAGAUUUCAUUUGAAGUGUAAAAUAAUUAAUAAUAAUAAUAAUAAUUAAAUUUUAAAAAAAUAUUAUUAUUAUCGAAGAAAAAACAUAUUUUUUUUAAGAUUAAAAAAAUAAAAAAUUUGGCUGACAAGUUAAAUAUUAAUAUUAAUAUUAUAAAUAUUAUUGUUGGAUUUAGCGUUGCAGCCAGACGCAACGCUCAUGGGUUCGUCGUUGCAGCCAAACUCAACACUUUUAGAUCUUAGAUUUUUAUUAUAUCUUUUUAUUAAAAUAAAAGGUGAGCCCGGGCCGUAGUGCGGGCAAAUAAGAAAAAUGAAAAAAAUAUCAAUUAUUAUUAUUAUUAUUAUCGUUAAUAAACUUUUUUAAAAACAUUUUUACUAUAAAAAAUUUGGCCAGACAAGUUCAAUACUAUUAUUAAUAUGAUAAAUAUAAUUAUUUGUAUUCUAAAUAUUAUUAUUUUUAUUAUAAUUAAAAGUAUUAGUGUUAGAAAUAUUAUUAUUUGUGAUAUAAAUAUUAUGAUUUUUUUUAUAAUUAAUAUUAUUAAUAUUAAAAAUACUAUUUUUUAUUAUAAAUAUUAUAAUUUUUAUUAUAAUUAAUAUUAUUCUUAUAAUAAUUAAUAAAUUUGUAGAAAAUAUUAUUAAUAUUGAAAAAAAUAGAUUUAAUUUGAAGGGUAAAAUUAAGAAUUAUUAUUACUAUUAUUGUUGUUGUUAUUGUCAUUACUAGAUUUUAAAACAAAAUUACUAUUGUCAUAGAAGAAAAGCAUAAUUAUUUUUUAAAAGAUUGAAAAAUAUGAGAAUUUGGGCAGAGAAGUUAAAUAUUAUUAUUAAUAUUAUAAAUAUUAUUAAAUUCAUUAAUAUUAUUACAAUAAAAAUAAAUAUUAUUGCUAUUAAAGAAAACAUAGAUUUGAUUUGAAGGGUAAAAUCAAUUAUUAUUAUUGUUAUUGUUAUUGUUAUUAUUGUUAUUAUUAUUAUUAUUAUUAUUAUUAUUACUAUUAUUUUCUUCACUUCAAAUUAAUAUUUUUUCUUAAUUCAUAUUAAGAUGUGUUUGUAUUAUUUUGAUGUGAUUAUAUAAAAAAUAUAUUUAAAAAAAUUAAAAAAAUAUUAUCUCAAUAUAUUUUUUAAAAAUAUUUUAAGAUAUUUCCAAUUUUAUUUUUUACUCUCUUGAAAAAACAUUUCUUUUUUCUUAUUGAUUUUUUUUUCAAACUGUAAAAAAAAAUUAAAUUAAUGUGACUUUUUUUAUAUUAUACAAAAGUUGGGUGAUGAUAAUUAUUUUUUCAUUUCAGGUGGGGUUGAAUUUUCUUAUUAAAGCAUGUUUGAUUUUGGUUUUCAAAAAUGCUUUGAAAAACAUUUGACAAUUUUUAUUUUUUGUCUUUACUUCAUAUUAUUAUUUUUUCCUUUAAUUGAUAUUAAGAUAUUUUUGUAUUAUUUUGAUGUGAUUAUAUAUAAAAUAGAUUUAAAAAAUAAAAAAAAUUAUCACAAUAUAUUUUUUUAAAAAUAAAAAAUAUUUUAAGAUAUUUCCAAUUUUAUUUUUUUCCCUCUUGAAAUUUGUUUCUUUUCUCUUAUUGAUUUUUUUUUAUACUGUAAAGAGAAAAUAAAUUAAUAUGACCUUUUUUUAUAUUAUACAAAAGUUGGGUGAUGAUAAUUUUUUUUUUCAUUUCAAGUUGAGUUGAAUUUCAUUAUUAAAGCAUGUUUUGUUUUGCGUUUUAAAAAUGCUUUGAAAAAAAUCUGAAAUUUUUUUAUUGUUUUCUUUAUUUUAAAUUAAUGUUUUUUAUGUUUUUAUAUAUAUUUUUAUUUUGUUUUUAAGUAUAUUGAGAUUAGGUCUGGUUGCGCAGUUACAUCCAAUGAGAAUAUAUUAAGUUGGGUCUUGUCCCGAGAAGGACCCAAAAUAGCUUUGGGUCCAGCUGCCGCUAGACCCAUCAGCAUGGGUCCUACCUCUACAAGGACCCAUCAAUAAUUGUUUUUCAUUUUUUUUUUCUUUUCUCUUGGUUUGGGCAGUCUCUUCCAGACCCAAAAAACUUGGGACAGGAAAAGGAGGGCACACCCAAGGGAGCUUGGGUGUGGUUAUGGAGUAGACCCAAAUCCCUUAGGUCUACAACUCCGUUUGACCCAAUAUUAUUGGUCCUUCUUCAGGAUCCAAUUUUUUGGGUCCUGAGUUAGGACCCAAGGCUAAUGUGUCCUGCGUCGGGAUCCAAUGCUCUUGGGUACUGAGUCAGGAUCGAAUUCUCUUGGGCUGUGUUAGGACCCAAAGUUCUUGUGUCCAUCAUCAGAACCCAAGGCUAAUAAGUUCUGCAUUAUGACUCAUGGUUCUUGUGUGUUAGGUUUCUAAAUAUAAUUUUUUGUAUUAUAAAUAUUAUUAUUUUUAUUAUAAUUAAAAGUAUUAAUAUUAAAAAUAGUAUUAUUUGUGUUAUAAAUAUUAUUAUUAUUAUUAAAAUAAUUAAUAAAUUUAAAAAAAAUUAUUAUUUGAUUUGAAGUGUAAAAUUAAUAUUAUUAUUAUUAUUAUUAUUAUUAUUAUUAUUAUUAUUAUUAUUAUUAAAUUUUAAAAAAUUAUUAUUACUAUGAAAGAAAAACCAUAAUGUUUUUUUUUGAAAGAUUAAAAAAAUAAAAUUUUUGACAAACAAGUUAAAUAUUAUUAUUAAUAUUAUAAAUAUUAUUGUUGGGUUUUGCAUUACAGUCAGACUCAACGCUCUUAGAUCCGAUAUUACAGCCACACCCAACGUUUUUAGAUCUUAGAUUUUUAUGAUAUUUUUUUUAUUAAAAUAAUAGGUGAGCCCGCAGCAUUACUCUUACGUAAAAAUUAAUGAGUUAAAAUUGAAAAUGGGUUUGGAUUUCCUUAAUUUUACCCUGGAUUGGAUUAUGUGAAAAAAAAUUAAAAAGUUACCCUAAAUUUUAUAAGUUUAUAAUACUUUAAAUUAAUAAAAAAAAUUAAAGUAUUAUAAGUUUGUCAUUAUAUUAUAUGUUUCACGUCAUUUGGGUUGCCAUUGUCAAAACCAUAGUUAUUAAACCCGGCCCGGGGUUGACCCGGCCAAGAGGCCGGGUCCCGGGUUUCAUAGGUCAACCCGGAAAAAUUAAAAAAAAAAUUAAAGUUUUAAUAUUUCAUAUGAAAAAAUCCAUGUAAAUAUAAAUUAUACAUAUUGUAAACAAUGAAGUUUAAAAGAAUAUUUUAAAAAGGUUUUUAUCCCACAUAAAAAAAAUAUUAUGUUAAGUUUUUAAGUUGAAGUAUUUAAACUAAAAACGUUUUUUAUCCCACAUUGAAAAAACAUGAUUUUUUACUUGGGAACAUAAAGUAUAUAUAACAAUGGGUUUCAAAUCUCACAUUUAAAAAAAAAAACUGGAUCUCGUUCAAGUUUAUCCGGGUCGCCUGAGUCAUGAGUUGACCUGCCGGGUCACCCGGAUUUAGCUGUACUGUUGCCCCAACCAGUCUUUUACUAAACCAAGUAGCAGGGCCAAGUCCUCUUCCUUCGACAUCGAAGCUUCUAUAUGCUUCAAUGCUGUUGAAUUUGCCGACGGCUGUUUUUAAUGAUUCAAUAAUUUAUUAUGAAGAUUAAAUUGCUUGUCACUUAAUGUAAACGGUCUAAAUACAAAUUGCUUAUCGGGAUUCAAACAAUUUUAUCUUAAAAUAUUGCACUAUAAAUCAUGACCUAUAAAUAUUUAAAUUUUUUAAGAUUAAUUUUUUAUUUAUUUAUAAUUAAUUUUAAAUUUAUUAUUUUUUAUAUUAAAAUAAUUAAUUAAUUUGACAAAUUUGUUUAUUAAAUGAUUGUAUCGUUCUUCUGCAUAGAGUCAAAGAUGGCCACCUAGGAAGAACGUCGUUGAAAUGGAUUUUUCACCCUUCAAAUUAAAUUAAAUUAUAAAUAAAUAAAUAAAUCUCAGACACGUGCUUGACUAAGUUUAUUCAUUGGAAUGGUGCGUUCGCAGAUUUGCCCUUGCACUGAAAUAUUGAGGUCAAUUUAGUCUUUUCACGGGAUCCAAAUUAAUCUCAGACACGUACACUUACAAGCAAAAACAAUUAACUUGUAUUCAGGUGCUUUUUUAUCUUUUUAAACUGAUUUUUUUUAUUAUAAUAAAGUUAAUUUACAAGCAAUUUGAUUAUUUAAUAAAUCUAUUUAUAUUAAAAAAAACCUGGCACGUGGGCUUUUCUUAUGCUAUUUGUGUGGCUGGUACCAUGAUGUUUGGAAGGCAAAUAGUGGUUUUCAAGGCGGUGUUGAAAUCGUCUUGACAGUUCUUUCAUGUUUAGGUUACGCUUGUGGUCAACCAAUCUAAGAUUUAGUGCUAAUAACUUUCUUUUUUUCCUUCUUGAUUUCUGCACUUGACCCUCUGAAAUUUAAAACCAGCCUUUCAAAUUAUUUUUUCUUGGAAUUUGAUCUCUUUUCUUGUAAUUAUUAUUUGUUUUAUUUGAAAUAAUUUAUAGAAUUAAAAUUUUUUUCAACUUCAUCAUCCUUCAACUUUUUCAUCUAUUAAAUUUGGUCCUUAUUUAUUCAUUUUAGAUGGUUUUUAGAAUUAAUUUUUUUUCAUGAUUUUAUUCUCCAAUUUUUUUCUAUCAAAUUUUAUCCUCAUUUUCUCCUUUAUUUAAGCUCGGAUCUCUUUAGCUUCAUCAUUCGGUAUUUAUUUAAUAAGAGAUUAGACUCCGUUAUUUUUUUAUUUUAUUUCUAUAGAAACUUUCAUUGGUUAUGAAAAUAACGUGGGUUAUAUUGAGUCUUUUUAUUUGUUGCUCUUUGUUAAAUUUAGCUUUUUUUGAGAAAUUUAAUUUUUUAUUAAAUUAAAUUAAUUAAUUAAAUAUAAGCAUGAAAUGCUCAUUUCAUGAUAUUUUACUUGGUUUUAUUUCUGGUGAUAAGACGGUGUUCACAGACUUUUCCUUCAUUUGCUAUUGGGUCUUAUAUUGGUAACUCAUUUUUUAUAGUUAACUAUUGCAAAAAAAAAUUAUUUUAUUUACCGUUGAUAUCUUUUUUAAUCAUAUUAUUAAAUUAAUCAAGCUUAUUGAAUCAAGUCAAAUUAAUUACCUAAAUCUCAAAUUUGUUUUGCUUCUUUAAAAAUGUUGGCGCCCUUGAAUAUUUUUUUUUGUCAAUUUUUUUUUUAUAUAUCUAUUAUCAUUGUAUUUUUUUUACUCGUAUUAUUUAAAUUAAUCUAACUUAUUAAUUCCCAUAAAAAAUGACUGGAGUCUCAUUAACUUUUUAAAACAUUUUAGAAACAAUUGUGCCAUCUUAGCAUCUUUUUUACCGUUAAAAAAAAAAACUUCAGCCUAUGCAAGCCAUCCAUCUAGUUUCAAUCUAGUACCCCAUUUCCAUUGCUCAUAAGAAUCAGGCUUGAACAUCCUUUUAUUUUGGUUUAGAUAAAUUAAAGAAAUGCCAUUGCAGUGCUCUUUGUUACUUCAAUCUUCUUUUUACCCUAAACUAAGUAGAGUUCCUUCAACACUUUAAAUCUGUGAACAAACUAGGGAAUUCUGGAAAACCAGGUCUGAAUCUGGACACUUGCGCACCGCAUGUCCGAGCAACAGAGGUUUAAAACUAUUGAUUCAAUCUUCAAUAUUCAGUAAAAUGAUAAUUAUUUUGGAAGUCCAAUUAGUAAUAGAAUUUAUUUCUUGCCAUAGAAGAUUUUAGAAUUUUAUUUUCAUUGACCUUGUAUCCACUUUGAAAAGUAGUUUUCCCUAUUUUUUUCCAAGAAAAAGCUUUGAAGAAGGUUCGAAUGCGCCCAAGUCAUAGCAAUGUGACGAGAAUUGUUUAUAAUUCAGUCUUUAGACUGAGGAUUUGAAACUGUAACAACAAUUAAGGAGAAACUCGAAGCGAAAAAAGUUUGUUUUCUUUUACCAAUUAAUGUGUAACUGAAGAAGCAAAAGCAAUCUUCUGCACGUUCUUAUGAUGAUUGCAUCGUUCAAAUCAUUGCACUUUCUACUCGGCCUGUUUGUUUCCUUGAAGCUCUUGGCCUUAGCUCAAGAGGAAAACCACUUCAUCUAUCAUGGCUUCACUGGCGCCAACCUGCUCCUCAGCGAGAAUGCAAAAAUCGAUCCAAAUGGUCUCUUAGAGCUGACAAACACUUCAAAACGGCAAAUUGGCCGUGCUUUCUUCCCAUUCCCUUUUCAGUUCAACACAUCUUUAUUCAACAAUUCUCGGUCUCUCUCGUUCUCUACCCAGUUUGCGUUUGCCAUGGUCCCUGAGCUGCCUACACUUGGUGGCCAUGGCAUGGCCUUCACAAUCUCUCCAUCUGUGGACUUCACAGGGACUAUGGCAACUCAAUACUUUGGAAUCCUCAAUUCUACAAGCAAUGGCCUGUCUUCAAACCAUCUAUUGGCAGUUGAGCUGGAUGCAGUUCCAAGCCCGGAUCUUAAAGACAUCAAUGACAACCACGUUGGAAUUGAUGUAGACAGCUUGAUAUCCAUUGAAUCUGCUCCUGUGACCUACUUUUCAGAUAAGGAAAAGGAGAAUAAGAGCUUGACUCUCACAAGUGGUCACGUGAUGCACGUGUGGAUAGAUUAUGAUGAAGUAGAGAAGCUACUCAAUGUUACCGUUGCUCCUGUCACAAGAACAAAACCAACCUUGCCUCUCUUGUCAACAUCUCUCGAUCUUUCUUCUGUUAUGUUGGAUUCUAUGUACGUUGGUUUUUCUGCAUCUACUGGAGCAGUGGCUAGCAGCCACUAUAUUCUGGGGUGGAGCUUCAACAGAGGCGGACAAGCUCAAAGUCUUGACGCCUCAAAGAAAAUCCAGAAAGAAACCAUAUUUAAGAAUUCUGGUCCCAACAAUAACAGCAAUCAUUUUGCUGGUAGCAUUCUCUGGUGCUGCUUAUAUCAUAAGGAGGAAGAAAUAUGAAGAACUGCGCGAAGAUUGGGAACAGGAGUAUGGUCCUCAAAGAUUCUCCUACAAGGAUUUAUACAAAGCAACUACAGGUUUCACGGACAGGAAGUUGCUGGGAAGUGGAGGUUUUGGAAAGGUUUACAGAGGAGUAUUGCCUUCUUCCAAUAUGCAAGUCGCGAUCAAGAAAGUAUCCCAUGAUUCCAAACAAGGAACUAAGCAGUUUGUUGCUGAGAUUGCUAGCAUGGGAAGGCUGAGGCACAGGAACUUGGUCCAGCUCCUAGGCUAUUGCCGGAGAAAGGGAGAGCUCCUCUUGGUCUAUGAUUACAUGCCCAAUGGAAGCCUUGAUAAACUCCUAUUUCGCAAUGACACACCCAGCCUUAAUUGGGUUCAGCGAUAUCAGGUCCUCAGAGGAGUUGCGUCCGCCCUUCUUUACCUCCAUGAAGAGUGGGAACAGGUUGUUCUGCAUAGAGAUGUGAAAGCUAGCAAUAUACUGUUAGAUGAUGAUUUCAAUGGUCGACUAGGAGAUUUUGGGCUUGCUAAAUUCUAUGAUCGUGGGGCUAAUCCUCAAACAACCUGUGUGGUUGGAACAGUUGGAUAUAUCGCGCCAGAGGUUACUAGAACAGGAAGGGCCACUACCAGCAGUGAUGUUUUUGCUUUUGGCACUUUUAUGCUUGAAAUGGCUUGUGGAAGGAAACCUUUACAGCCAGAACAAUCAGCAGAAAAGAUGAUUUUGGUUGACUGGGUUCUUGAUUCCUGGAAAAUAGGAGACAUUCUUCGAACAGGUGAUCCAAGAUUGGAAGGUAAUUACGAGGUGGAGGAAAUGGAAUUGGUUUUAAGGCUAGGUCUGCUUUGUUCUUUCUCUACACCACAAGCUAGGCCAAGCAUGAGGCAAAUUGCGCAAUAUCUGGAUGGGAAUGCUAGCCUGCCAGAGAUGCCGCUUGAUGUUGCUAGCAUAGGUUUGAUGCCAGUUAGUCAUGAAGAGCCUGGGGGUUUCAACUUGUCUUUCCAUAGAUCUAAUGAUUACUCUGCUCAUUCCUUCUCUAGUACCGACUCAAUCCUCAGCUGUGGUCGUUGAAUCAUGGCUAGAUGAGGUAAAAAUUCUUUAACCUCAAGACUAACAGCUGGCAUGUGGCAAGCCUGGUAUUAGUGGUGAAGAGGAAGGUAGAUUGGAAUACUUAGAAGGUUUGUGCAUGCCGUAGUAAUCCUCAAAGCACCACAAAGACUGCUCCAUGAGGGGUUAAUUAAUUAGCAUAGACCCAAAGUUUGGGUUUUGAGUCACGAUGUAAUUCUUUUUGGCUGUGUCAGGAUACAAAGUUCCUGGGUCGUCAUCAAGACCCAAAGCUAAUAAAUUUUAUAUUAGAAUUUAAGAUUUUGAAUCUUAGGUUUUUAAAUAUAAUUUUUUAUAUUAUAAAUAUUAUUAUUUUUAUUAUAAUUAAAAGUAUUAAUAUUAAAAAUAGUAUUAUUUGUGUUAUAAAUAUUAUUAUUAUUAAAAUAAUUAAUAAAUUUGAAAAACAUUAUUAUCAAUAUUGAAAAACAACCAUGGAUUUGAUUUAAAGUGUAAAAUUAAUAAUAAUAAUAACAACAAUUAUUAUUAUUAUUAUUAUUAUUAUUAUUAUUAUUAUCAUUAAUAAAUUUUAAAAAACUAUUAUUACUAGAAGAAAAACCAUAAUUGUUUUUGAAAGAUUAAAAAAAAUUAAAAUUUUGGGAAACAAGUUAAAUAUUAUUAUUAAUAUUAUAAAUAUUAUUGUUGUGUUUUGCAUUGCAACCGAACUCAACGCUCUUGGAUUCGAUGUUAUAGUCACACUCAAUGUUUUUAGAUCUUAGAUUUUUAUGAUAUUUUUUUAUUAAAAUAAUAGGUGAGCCCGCGGCAUAGCGUUGGCCACCUAACUAGUAAUUACUAAUUCUUAAGUGUUCUAGCUUAAGUAAAAAUUAAUGGGUUAAAAUUGAAAUUGGAUUUGGAUUUCCUUAAUUUUACCCGAGUUACUGGAUUGGAUUAUGUAUAAAAAAUUAAAAAGUUACCCUAAAUUUUAUAAGUUUAUAAUACUUCAAAUUAAUAAAAAAAUUAAAGUAUUAUAAGUUUGUCAUUAUAUUUUAUUUAACUAAAAUCCGGAUACAUCAAAUUAACAAAAAUGCUACUAUACGCACAUCAUCAAGAACAAUCAUCAUUGGGGCUCUAAUUCUCCAUUCAAAAUGCAAAUUCCGUUUUGGGACCAAAUCAUUGCCCAUUCUUCCAUCAUCCCCUCCAUGACCCCUUGUUUAUCUGUUGGCCAUAAGAUCCAUGUUAUUAUCUCUUUCGCGACGCAUUCUCAAGAACCGAAACCUCAAAUCGAACCACAAGUUGCAAAGCCGAAGAGGAAAAGAAAAGCAAAAGCAGGGAGUCCUUAAGUUUCAAACAAAAGAAGAGAUUUUGAGUCGUGGGGCUUUUCACUUCAUGAUCCAAGGUUUUACCUUUAUUUUUGUUUCAGGUCAUUUGGGUUGUCAUUGUCGAAACCACAAGUAGCAGGGCCAAGUCCUCUUCCUUCGACAUCAAAGCUCCUAGAUGCUUCAAUGCUGUUGAAUUUGCCAACGGCUGGUUUAGAUGGCAGUGAGAUAGGGUUUUGCACUGCUACUACAUUCUUCUAUUAAGGGAAAGGCAUUUGUGGCUCACCUACGUUUGUCAUGUCCGUAACAGAGGCAUAAGAUGAGGUGCGGUGCCUGCACAAUCUGGUCCCAACAACAACAGCAAUCAUUUUGCUGGUAGCAAUCUCUGGUGCUGCUUAUAUAAUGAGGAAGAAAUAUGAAGAACUGCGCGAAGAUUGGGAAUGUCACGACCCGAUUCCCGGAUCCAUGACCGCCACAUAGAUAAGGUUCCUCUCCAAGGUUCCAUACCUAUGCGAACCCAAACUUACAUACAAUCUUAUCCUUUAAACAAUUUAAUCAGAGUUCAACCCAGCAUUAACAACAAACUAAUUUUAUAAUAUAAUUUAAUUGUCUUAAUACAAGAGUUAAUAUAAUUUUAUAGUUUUGGAGCACUAACUAGACAUAAAGGAAAAUGUACAAAUUACAACCAAAAGAGCAGGUUUUGAAGAUCCAACAAAAGUGACCUAUUAUCAAGCUAUAAGCCUGAAAAGGUAAAUAAUGAGAGGUUGAGUUCAACAACUCAGUGAGUAGAUAACGUUCAAUAUACACACACGAGGUAAUACAACAAUGAGAAAUAUAUAUACAAGUAUGACUUUAGGUUCUUAUAUAAAUGUUUUUCAAAAUGGCCAUAAUAAGAAGAUCAUAUGGUAAAACUCGUCAGAAAAUCAAAAUGCAAUGAGCAUGAGGCUCCGUACUGUAGGAUGAUCAGUCCACACAGGUUGGUGACUCCCCCGACCAACUAGGGUUCAGAUACGAUGUGCACAAAGACUAACACUACCAUGUUAGCAUGGGUAUUCUGACUGACAUACCAUAAAUUCAUAAUCAUAAUCAAACAGACAUAUUCAUAUCUCAAGGCUCAGCUCAUGACAUCAAUCAAAUGAGGAGCUAUCAAUUCAGAAGUCAAUUCAAAAUAUAUACUGGUUUAUAUCCAGAAUUCAGAUUCAACAAUUGAUCAUAUAUAUAUAUAUAUAUUAUCAAGAAGCAUGAUCCAAUUCAUAAUAACAAAUCAAAUAUUUAUAAUAUUUCUCAUGUAUAUGAAAAAUUAUCCACUCACCUGACUCGAAAGCAAAUAGCACUCAAAAGCCGAUACCGAAGGUAAUCCCACUAAUGUCCCGCUGGUAGAAUAUCAUGAUUAUCUGAUUACAAAGGAGACAUAUUCAAGAAUGACUCAAAAGAAUAUAUAUAACCUAUUUAAUACACUUAUCUAAGGGUGUAUUCCAUAACUCUAUAUGUUUUUAGACUAAACUAGUUAUUUUCCCAGAAACCCAAAAAUUAACGGUUUUCCUGAAAUAUAAUCCAUAAUAAAACAAAUAAUAAAAUUGAUAAUAAUUCACUAUAUAACCCUCAAUUAUUCAUCAAACCAAUCUGCAAAAGCUAAUAUUACAGCUAUGGACCAAUUUGUAAUUUAUCAUAUUUCUAAGGGUCAAAUUGUAACUUUUGUCAAAUUGAAGGACCAAACUAAAAAUAUCAUAAAUUUAUCACUAUACUGAAAUUCUGACCAUAAUUAAUCCUCAAUUCUGUCCAGAAUAUCUCAUUAUGCUCCAGGGACCAUUCUGGAAUUUUACCAAAUUGUUAGGGUCAAAUUGUAAUUUUUGUCAAAUUGAAGGACCAAAUUGAAAGUGUUAAAAUUUCAUAACUAUACAGGAAUUCUGCCCAUGAUUUAUCUUUUGUUCUGUUCAGAAUCUCGAAAUAUGCUCAAGGGACCAAUCUGUAAUUUUCCCAAGUUUGGGGAAAAACUGUAAUUUUCACAAAUUGAGGGACCAAACAAAAUUUUGUCAUCUUCAACCUCAAACCCAGAAUUUUCACAGAUUACCUACUGUUCUUUCCAGAUUUCUAACUCAAAAUUCACCAUUUACACAAAUCAUCAUCUUUACCUACAAUCUCUCAAAAUCAACUAAACAAUCCAUUACCCACAACAAUCAACCCAUAACAUUCAAAUUAAUUCAUCAAUUAAACCCAAAACAAAAUCUUCAAAACCCUAACAUUCAUCAAAACCGAAAUUUAAAGCUUAUAUAACACAUAUUUAUACAUAAUCUUACCUUUAAACUUAUUUCCUCCAACUCAUUUCUAAUUUUCUUCUAAUUUUCUUCUUUUCUCUUUUUCUUCUUCUUUCUCCCUUCUCUCCUGCCGUCCCUCACACUGAAAUUUCAGAUCCCUCUUUCCCUUUUUUUUUUUUACUUUCUAUUUAUAUUUAUCAUCUCUUUAUUCAAUUACUACUAUACCCUUCAUUAAUUUAUUCCUACAUCUAAGCCUUCAAGGCUUUGUAGUCUUUUCCUAUCUCUUUUAAUUCAAAACAUUACAGGGAACAGGAAUAUGGUCCUCAAAGAUUCUCCUACAAGGAUUUAUACAAAGCAACUACAGGUUUCACAGACAGGAAGUUGCUGGGAAGUGGAGGCUUUGGAAAGGUUUACAGAGGAGUAUUGCCUUCUUCCAAUAUGCAAAUCGCGACCAAGAAAGUAUCCCAUGAUUCCAGGCAAGGAAGUAAGGAAUUCGUUGCUGAGAUUGUUAGCAUGGGAAGGCUGAGGCACAGGAACUUGGUCCAGCUCUUCGGCUAUUGCCAGCGAAAGGGAGAGCUCCUCUUGGUCUAUGAUUAUAUGCCCAAUGGAAGCCUAGAUAAACUCCUAUUUCGCAAUGAGACACCCAGCCUUAAUUGGGCUCGGCGAUAUCAAAUCAUCAGGGGAGUUGCGUCUGCCCUUCUUUAAAGGGCACGUUUGGGAACGCGGCUGCGGCUGCGUUCCUAAAAUUUGAAAUUUUUUUUUUUUUUUUACUAAAAUUUAAUAUGGUUUGGAUCGUUUUGAUGUGCUGAUGUCAAAAAUGAUUUUUAAAAAAUUAAAAAACAUCAUUGGCAUGCAUUUUGGCACAAAAAGUUAUUUGAAAAGCACCCGCAAUCACACUGUAAAAAAUGCUCUUUACCUCCAUGAAGAGUGGGAACAAGUUGUUCUGCAUAGAGAUGUAAAAGCUAGCAAUGCUUCAUGGAGGAUUGAUUACGUAAAUAUGUACAUUAAGACUUGUUCGAUGUGAAAUAUAGAGGAAGGUGCCACAGAAUUUUGAAGAUUGUAGCGUUUCUGCAAUUUUUUUCCAGCCACUUUGUCUUGUGAGCUCUUACCAUAGAACAGUCACCCUCCCUGCAGACCGUAAGCCCAGAGGUAAGGAGGGCUUCUAUACAAAUAUUUCUUAACUAGCAGAAUUAAUAGAUUUAUGGAAACAUAUAACAAAUUCUAUUUAAACUUAGCAUGCAUUGCCAAUCGAUCCUGGUUGAUUAUUGUGAUAUUUGUUGAUUAAAGUCAAUCGAUGAUGGUUGAUUUAUGGUUUAUCAAGUUAGUUUUGGAUUGAUGUCUUAAACAUCAAAUAAAUAAUAAAUUAUAUAAACAAAAUAGAUGUAUUUACUUGCUAAAGAAUUAUAUACAAACAAAGAAAGCAGGUUAUGUUGCUGUAAAUUAAUGAUUCAAUUAUUUAUUAUAAAUGUUAAAUUUCUUGUUUUAAUGUAAACAGUCUCAAUAUAUAUAAACUGCUUUUCAGGAUUCAAAUAACAUUACUUUAAAAUAUUGCACUAUAAAUCAAGGCCUAAAUGUUUUUAAAAAAUAAUAAUUAAAUGACCUCACUAAUCAAGCGUAUUAAUUCAUGUAUUGGUAAAAAAUAUUUUAUAAUUAACUCAAGUUCUAGUCAAGCACGUCAUUUAAGCUCAAAAUCUACAUUGUCUAGAGUCUCUCUCGUCUAAAAACUUUUGUGUGUUAUAAGCUAAUUUAAAUAUUCAACUUCUUACUAUAUAAGUUACAAGAUCUUAUAAUCUUUCAAUUUAGAAUUAAUGUUAUUUAAAUUUUUUAAUAUUAAUUUCUUAUUUAUUCAUAAUUUAUUUUAAACAUAUUAAUUUUUAUGUUAAAAUAAUUAAUUAAUUUGGGGAAUAUUUUUUAAAAAUGGUUGGUUAAUUCAAAUGAUCCCCAUAAAUCUUGUCAUUGUUUCUUAAAAUUGAUAAAAUUAUAGAACUCAAAUCCUACUUAAUCAAAAAAGAAAAAAAAAAAAAAGGACGAGAGCUAAAUGGCCAGAGGCAUAAGUGGAGCGGAUUUAAGGAUAAGCGUAUGAUAAGAAUAAUUCGUGUGCUAUGUAUGCAUCUUACCACUAGGAGACGGGACGAGAGCCACGCCAACACAUUAGGUGUUACUUGCUCCACCUCAAGCUUCUUUCUUAGCCAUUAAGUGUCGGUUACGAUUUUUAUAAGUGUCGUAAUCGUUGUUUUUAAAGUAUUUUUAAUUUAAAAAUAUAUUAAAAUAAUAUUUUUUUAUUUUUUAAAAAUUAUUUUUUAUAUCAACAUAUAAUAAUAAUCUAAAAAUAAAAAAAAAUAUUAAUUAUAAAUAAAGCCCUGUGGUUACUCAUAUGAUGGCCACUGGAGGCUUACAUGGUCGUUAACUUCAGGACCCGUGAGAUUAGUCAAGGUGCGCGCAAGCUGGCCCGGACACCUACGUUAAACUAAAAAAAAAAACCCAAAGUAGACUAAAAAUUUAGAGUUAGCAUUGAGACUCAAUCAGAGAGCCCACUUCGACCAUCCUUCAAAGAUUAGAGUUGUUGAUAAAUUGACUGGAUAUUUGGAGUUUGGUUGUGAUUGUUUUUUGAAAUAUUUUUUAUUUAAAAAUAUAUUAAAAUAAUAUUUUUUAUUUUUUAAAAAAUAUUUUUAACAUCAAAAUGAUCUAAAAACACUAAAAAAUAUUAAUUUAAAGUAAAAAAAAUAAAAUAAAAAUUAAUUUUUUUUAAAACUAUUUUUAAAAUACAAGAAUAAAUAAUACAUUUGCAUUAAAGACAGAAUUGUCAUUUUCAAUUAGCUAUCAAUAUUUAACAAGGAGCAGUGCUUUUUCUAAGAUGGGAUCGUUCUUUUGUAUAAAGUCAAAGAUGGCCACCUAGAAAUAACGUCUUUGAAAUGGAAUUUUCGUGUUAUGGUCACCCUUUAAAUUAAAUUAAAUUAAAAAUAAAUAAAUAAAUGCCGACACAUACUUGACCAAGUUUAUUCAUUGGAAUGGUGCAUUUGCAGAUUUGCCCUUAUGCACUGAAAUAUUGAGGUUUAAUUUAGUCUGGGAUCCAUUUAUCUUUAUCAAAUUCAUCAAGAGCAAAAAGAUCUUCACAUGUUAUUUUUUUCACUCUAAAAUGACAAAAAAGCCUUUAAGAGAAAGGAAUUAUUAAACUAGUUUUCAAGGGCUUAUUUGUCCUUACACUUUCUUAACCGUAGUAAAAAACUGAUGUACACUUGCAAGCAAAAAUAAUUAACCUGCAUUGGCUUUUUCAUCUUUUCAAACUAGUAUUUUUUAUUAUAAUGAAGUUGAUUUAAAUGUAAUUUUAUCAUUUAAUAAAUAUAAAUAUUAAAAAAACAAAUGGACACAUGAGCUUUUUCUAGUGUUAUUUGUGUGGCCUGAAAGAUGAUGUUUGGGGCAAAUAGUGGCUUUCAAGAUAGUGUUGGAAUCGUCUUUACAGACCCUCUAUGUGUAGGCUAUAUUUAUGGCCAACUAAUCUAAGAUUUGGCAUUAAUGAUUUUUUUUUCUUCUCCUCAAUUUCCACACCUGACCUUCUAGAUUUUAAAAUCAGCCUUUCAAUUUGUUUUUUCUUUGAGUUUGGUCUCUUUUCUUUUUAUUACUAUUUGUUUUAUUUGAAAUAAUUUAUAAAAUUGGAAUUCUUUUCAACUUGAUCCUCCCUCAAUUUUUUCAUCUAUUAAAUUUGAUCAUCAUUCUUUUGAUUGAUAUUUAUUUGUUUUAAAUGGUUUUUUAAAUUGAACUUUCUUUUUUUACGAUUUUAUCCUCCUUCAAUAUUUUUCCUAUCAAAUUUUAUCCUCAUUUUCUCAUUCUUUUUUUUUAAGCUCGUGUUUCUUUAGUUUCAUCAUUCGAUAUUUAUUUAAUUAGAGAUUGGGCUCCGUUAUUUUUUUAUUUUAUUUUAGUAAAAACUUUCAUUGGUUUUAAAAAUGACAUGGGUUGUCUUGAGUUUUUUUAUUUGUCACUCUUUGUUAAAUUUAGCCUUUUUUUGGGGAAAUUUUAUUUUUUCUUAAAUUAAAUUAAAUUAUUUGAUUGAAUAUAAGCAUGAGUUACUCACUUCAUGAUAUUUUAUUUGGUUUUCUUUCUAGUGGUAAGGCGGUGUCCACGGUGAAAUGAUGAUGAAUCCCCAACAAGCUUUUCCUUCAUUUGCUCUCGGGUAUUAUAUUGGCAACUAUUUUUUUAUAGUUAACUAUUGCCAAAAAAAUUUGUUUUAUUUCCCAUCAAUAUUAUUAAAUUAAUCGAACUUAUUAAAUCCAAAUUUGUUUUGCUUUUUUAAAAACAUUGGCGCCCUCGAACAUUCUUUUUUUUUUUUGUCAAUUUGUUUUUCAAUUUAGCUAUUAUUGUUGCAUUUUUUAUUUGUAUUAUUUAAAUUAGCUUAGCUUAUUAAUUCCAGAAAAAAAAUGACUCAAGUCUUAUAUUUUUUUUUUACUUUUUAGAAACAAUUGUGUCGUCUUAGCAUCUUUUUUAACAUUAAAAAAAAAAUUCAGCCAGCACAAGCCACCCAUCUAGUUUGCAAUCUACGACCCCAUUUCCAUUUGCUCAUAAGAAUCAGGCUUGAACAUCCUUUUAAGUUUAGAUAAAUUAAAGAAAUGCCACCCAGUGCUCUUUGUCACUUCAAUCUUCUUUUUACCCUAAAUUAAGUACAGUUCCUUCAACACUUCAAAUCUGUGAACAAACAGAGAUUUAAAACUAUUGAUUCAAUCUUCAAUAUUCAGUAAAAUGAUAAUUAUUUUGGAAGUCCAAUUAGUAAUAGAAUUUAUUUUCUUGCCAUAGAAGAUUUUAGAAUUUUAUUUUCUUUGACCUUGUAUCCACUUUGAAAAGUAGUUUUCCCUAUUUUUUUCUAAGAAAAAGCUUUGGAGGGUUCGAGGGGCCCAAGUCAUAGCAAUGUGACGAGACUUGUUUAUAAUUCAGUCUUUAGACUGAGGAUUUGAAACUGUAACUGAAGAAGCAAAUAAGGAGAAACUCGAAGCGAAAAAAGUUUGUUUUCUUUUACCAAUGUGUAACUGAAGAAGCAAAAACAAUCUUCUGCACGUUCUUAUGAUGAUUGCAUCGUUCAAAUCAUUGCACUUUCUACUCGGCCUGUUUGUUUCCUUGAAGCUCUUGGCCUUAGCUCAAGAGGAAAACCACUUCAUCUAUCAUGGCUUCACUGGCGCCAACCUGCUCCUCAGCGAGAUUGCAAAAAUCCAUCCAAAUGGUCUCUUAGAGCUGACAAACACUUCAACACAGCAAAUUGGCCGUGCUUUCUUCCCAUUCCCUUUUCAGUUCAACACAUCUUUAUUCAACAAUUCUCGGUCUCUCUCCUUCUCUACCCAGUUUGCGUUUUCCAUGGUCCCGGAGCUGCCUACCCUUGGUGGCCAUGGCAUGGCCUUCACGAUCUCUCCAUCUGUGAACUUCACAGGGGCUUGGGCAACUCAGUACUUGGGAAUCCUCAAUUCUACAAGCAAUGGCCUGUCUUCAAACCAUCUAUUGGCAGUUGAGCUGGAUGCAAUUCGAAGCCUGGAUUUUAAAGACAUCAAUGACAACCACGUUGGAAUUGAUGUAAACGACUUGACAUCCAUUGAAUCUGCUCCGGUGACCUACUUUUCAGGUGAGGAAAACGAGAAUAAGAGCUUGGCUCUCAUAAGUGGUCUUGUGAUGCACGUGUGGAUAGAUUACGAUGAAGUAGAGAAGCUACUCAAUGUUACGGUUGCUCCUAUCACAAGAACAAAACCAACCUUGCCUCUCUUGUCAACACCGCUCGAUCUUUCUUCUGUUAUGUUGGAUUCUAUGUACGUUGGUUUUUCUUCAUCUACUGGAGCAGUGGCUAGCAGCCACUAUAUUCUGGGGUGGAGCUUCAACAGAGGCGGACAAGCUCAAAGUCUUGAUGUGUCAAAGUUGCCUUCACUUCCCCAUCAAAGAAAAUCAAGGAAGAAAUCACAUUUAAGAAUUCUGGUCCCAGCAAUAACAGCAGUCAUUUUGCUGGUAGCAAUCUCUGGUGCUGCUUAUAUAAUAAGGAGUAAGAAAUAUGAAGAACUGCGCGAAGAUUGGGAACAGGAGUAUGGUCCUCAAAGAUUCUCCUACAAGGAUUUAUACAAAGCAACUACAGGUUUCACGGACAGGAAGUUGGUGGGAAGUGGAGGUUUUGGAAAGGUUUACAGAGGAGUAUUGCCUUCUUCCAAAAUGCAAGUCGCGAUCAAGAAAGUAUCCCAUGAUUCCAUACAAGGAACUAAGCAGUUUGUUGCUGAGAUUGUUAGCAUGGGAAGGCUGAGGCACAGGAACUUGGUCCAGCUCCUAGGCUAUUGCCGGAGAAAGGGAGAGCUCCUCUUGGUCUAUGAUUACAUGCCCAAUGGAAGCCUUGAUAAACUCCUAUUUCGCAAUGACACACCCAGCCUUAAUUGGGUUCAGCGAUAUCAGGUCCUCAGAGGAGUUGCGUCUGCCCUUAUUUACCUCCAUGAAGAGUGGGAACAGGUUGUUCUGCAUAGAGAUGUGAAAGCUAGCAAUAUACUGUUAGAUGAUGAUUUCAAUGGUCGACUAGGAGAUUUUGGGCUUGCUAAAUUCUAUGAUCGUGGGGCUAAUCCUCAAACAACCUGUGUGGUUGGAACAGUUGGAUAUAUCGCGCCAGAGGUUACUAGAACAGGAAGGGCCACUACCAGCAGUGAUGUUUUUGCUUUUGGCACUUUUAUGCUUGAAAUGGCUUGUGGAAGGAAAC